rnacentral:rRNA from 1 species
GACAGAGGCCUCAAGCGUUAGGCGGAAUCACUGGGCUUAAAGCGUGUGUAGGCGGAUCGUUAAGUGUCUUGUGAAAUCCCACGGCUCACCCGUGGAACGGCUGGGCAUACUGGCGAUCUUGGGCCAACUAGGGGCAACUGGAACAAGCGGUGGAGCGGUGAAAUGCGUAGAUAUCGCUUGGAACGCCGAAGGUGAAGACAGGUUGCUGGGGUUGUGCCGACGCUGAGACACGAAAGCCAGGGGAGCAAACGGG